rnacentral:rRNA from 1 species
CUUCAACGGAGAGUUUGAUCCUGGCUCAGGAUGAACGCUGGCGGCGUGCUUAACACAUGCAAGUCGAACGAUGAUGCCCAGCUUGCUGGGUGGAUUAGUGGCGAACGGGUGAGUAACACGUGAGUAACCUGCCCUUGACUCUGGGAUAAGCCUGGGAAACUGGGU